rnacentral:snoRNA from 1 species
CUUCAGUGAUGAUACGAUGACGAGUCGGAUCGAGGCCCGUCUCUGAGGAUUCUGGCUCAGGCUCACGUUCUGUGCGUCAGACUUCAGUUCCUCAGAGAUCACGUGUCCUCUUAGAUUGAAGAUAUAGAGGCAUUUGUCUGAGAAGG